UACGAAGGGGGCUAGCGUUGUUCGGAAUUACUGGGCGUAAAGCGCACGUAGGCGGAUUGUUAAGUCGGGGGUGAAAUCCUGAGGCUCAACCUCAGAACUGCCUUCGAUACUGGCAAUCUCGAGUCCGGAAGAGGUUGGUGGAACAGCUAGUGUAGAGGUGAAAUUCGUAGAUAUUAGCUAGAACACCAGUGGCGAAGGCGGCCAACUGGUCCGG
rnacentral:rRNA from 1 species